AGCGAACGCUGGCGGCGUGCUUAACACAUGCAAGUCGAGUGCGCAGUUUCCUGUAGCAAUACAGGAAAUGGGCGCACGGCGCACGGGUGCGUAACACGUGGGCAAUCUACCCUUUGAUGGGGAAUAACCCGCCGAAAGGCGGGCUAAUACCGCAUAACAUCCCAGUCGCUUCGGUGAUAGGGAUCAAAGCCCGCAAGGGCGUCAUUGGAGGAACCCGCGGCCGAUUAGCUAGUUGGUGAGGUAAUGGCUCACCAAGGCUUGGAUCGGUAGCCGGUCUGAGAGGACGAUCGGCCACACUGGAACUGAGACACGGUCCAGACUCCUACGGGAGGCAGCAGUGGGGAAUCUUGCGCAAUGGGCGAAAGCCUGACGCAGCGACGCCGCGUGGGGGAUGAAGCUUCUCGGAGUGUAAACCCCUUUCGACCCGGACGAAUGACCCGCAAGGGUUUGACGGUACGGGGAGAAGAAGCCCCGGCUAACUACGUGCCAGCAGCCGCGGUAAGACGUAGGGGGCCG
rnacentral:rRNA from 1 species